UUAUUUAUUAAAACUUAAAUAAUUUGGCGGUAUUUUAGUUUAUUUAGAGGAAUCUGUUUAAUAAUUGAUAUACCACGAAUAAAUUUACUUAACUUUAUAAUUUUGUAUAUCGUUAUUAUAAAAAUAUUUUUUAAUAAAAUUAAUAUUUAAAAAUUAUUAUAUUAAUUUAAAUUAGAUCAAGAUGCAGAUUAUAGUUAAGAAUAUAAUGGAUUACAAUAAAAUUAUUUAAAUGAAUAUUAAUUUGUAAAAAUUAAUUGAAGGUGGAUUUAAAUGUAAUUUUAUUUAAUUAAAUAAAAUGAUUUAAUAUUAAAAUAUGU
rnacentral:rRNA from 1 species